AGUGAACGCUGGCGGUAGGCCUAACACAUGCAAGUCGAACGGCAGCACAGUAGGAGCUUGCUCUUACGGGUGGCGAGUGGCGGACGGGUGCGGAAUACAUCGGAAUCUACUUUUUCGUGGGGGAUAACGUAGGGAAACUUACGCUAAUACCGCAUACGACCUACGGGUGAAAGCAGGGGAUCUUCGGACCUUGCGCGAUUGAAUGAGCCGAUGUCGGAUUAGCUAGUUGGCGGGGUAAAGGCCCACCAAGGCGACGAUCCGUAGCUGGUCUGAGAGGAUGAUCAGCCACACUGGAACUGAGACACGGUCCAGACUCCUACGGGAGGCAGCAGUGGGGAAUAUUGGACAAUGGGCGCAAGCCUGAUCCAGCCAUACCGCGUGGGUGAAGAAGGCCUUCGGGUUGUAAAGCCCUUUUGUUGGGAAAGAAAAGCAGCAGGUUAAUACCCCGCGGUUCUGACGGUACCCAAAGAAUAAGCACCGGCUAACUUCGUG
rnacentral:rRNA from 1 species